ensembl:rRNA 5S_rRNA 5S ribosomal RNA
GCUUACGGCCAUACCUCUUCUGGCUCCGCCUGAUCUCGUCUGAUCUCAGAAGCUAAGCAGAGUAGGGCCUGGUUUAGUACUUAGGAUGGAAGACCCGCCCUGGGAAUCCCCAGGUGCCGUAAGCU